GUGUACAGGAAAAUGACCUAUGAAUUGACAGACUGUGUCUUCUAAAUUUGUCUGUCACUUCUGUAGGCCAAUAUUCUGCAUGCCUUA
ensembl:miRNA